CAGCUUUUUUGGCGGGUUUUUUCCCCUCUCUGUGCGUUUGAGGCCGUUAGUUGGGAACCGUAAAAACCCCAAUCCGAAAUACUGCUCUCGUUCGGAAAACCCCCUCUCUGGCGCUGGACUCUGCCUCGAAACCCUCUUUCGUUUUAAUUCGUCGCUCAGCAUUUCCGUUUUGGUCAGAGAUUGUUGCUUCCGGUUGGUUGCUCUCUUCUUUUCAAAAAAAUCAGCUUGAAGUAUCCAUUGGAGUCAGACCAACACCAAGCAAAACAGAAGUAAAAAUUUAUUUUCAUUGAUGUGCUUUGAAGAUAUUAUCUAAUGAUACUAAACUUUUUUCUUUUGCUCCAAUAAAUUGUGCUCGAAGGAAUUCUAUUUGGGGCUUAAGCGUGCUACUGUGGCACCAUACUAUAAUCACAGCUCAUACCAGAUAAUGUGAGUACCUUAUUAGUAGGGGAUUAUAUCACUCUUAUUCAUAUAGUUCUAGUUAGUCACUUUAUAAUUUCUGUUUUCCAUCAGAAAGCCUGUCACAUAUAAAUUCUUGGACGUGGAUCACUGAAGCUUGUCAGCCAACACAAUUUCAUUUAUGAUCCAAUAUUAAAACAUUAAGGUUUUGCAUUAUCAUUAUUUUUGGGAAUAAAAUGGCUCCAUUGUAAUUUAAAUUGUUUUCUUCAAUUUUCAAUGGUGAAAUUCUCAAGUUUAAUCACCAGUUCCUUUGUCAGUAAUUAUUGUAAAGUGAGGAAGCAGAUGGAGUAAUUCUGGAUUUGUAACAACUUUGAAACGUACUACUGCUAAAAAUUAUUUGAGUUUACUGUAGAAAAUUCAGAAAUGAAUUUGAGAGUUGAAAAGGAUAUGCAUAGUGGGAAAUAAGAUAGAAACAAGAGCUGACAUUGUAAAUUCUAGUGCUAGAUGGGUGAGAGGCAGUAGCUUUUAGAAAUGAAAGGAUAAAGAAUGAAAUUAGCGAACUAGAAAUUUUAGUAAUAAUGUUCAUUUACUGGCAAGUUUAGCAAUGGUUAAGUAUUUGAGUUGUGGAGAUAGUUUCUUUGUAAAAAUAAGGAUAAUUUGCAUGCAAAAAAUGACUCUUUCUUGACUUCUGCUAAGCUGGGUGUAUCGUGCACCGGGGAUGUCCACACAUUUAAUUGCAAGGCAAAGAACUGAAUCUAUCAUGAUUUAGCAGUGAUUUGGUUGAGAAACUAAGCAAAUUGGUUAUUUAUCUGUUAUCUUUUAUGAUGCUGAGUUAUUGUCAAACAAGUUUUGCUGGUGGCUUAGUUUAUACAGAUAAUUUAUUUCAAGCAGUUCCUGUUGGCCUUCUUGGAUUACUCCUAUUGUUCCAGGUAAUGACAACAAUGUAAUUCUGGUUAAUAAAAAAAGUCAUGAUUAUAGAACUGAUUAUUUUGGUUUU